AAAUUAAGUAGGACUAAUUAAGCAUGAUGACAUGUCUACCUAUAUUUAAUUAAACAUGAUGGGUUGCUUACUUGUAAUUUGUAGCUAUUAAGUUGGAUAAUGAUUUACUCAUAUAAUUAGUUGUUGUACUUUGCUAGUUUUUCACUGCUCAUUUCGUAACAGGAGAAAAUUAAACUCCAAGUAUAUGUUAUCAAAAGAUAAAGAAACAUUGAUGCUCCACAACUUAUAUAGAAAUAUGCAUGUGACUGCCUGAAUGCUUGAUGCUGUUAGAGACUGGCAAAAGCUAGCUAGCAUAUAUAUAGUCAAAAAGGGUCAUAUCAUCGAGAACAAAAGGUAGGCAUGAUGCUCAGUGUCUUUCUUUAAUUGAUAGUAAUUAAUUCUGAAGGUGCAGAGGUGUCAUUCUUUUGUUUUGAUUGCCUGAUGAUUUCUUUCUGUCCUCAUUUGAUAUCCAAACUGCUAAGGUGACACAUACUAUACUAAUUAAUUCUGAAGCUGCAGAGGUAUCCUUAUUUGUGGAACUUGUUAAUUCCGUAAGAACUUAGUAUGACUCGCACAUGGAUGAAUGCUUGCACUGAUGUAUGCCUAUUUAGCACAGGGCAAUGAAUGAGCAAAUACUCCAACUGCCUAUGUACGUGUUACUUCUUCCAGGCAACAGAGUUCAGAACUUCACAAUUUAGGAAAGGAAGGGAGUUCACAAAGCCCAGUUCUCAUUGAAGAACACAAAGAAAGACCAUGGUGGAGGCCAAGAUAUGAACUAUUCACCAUUGGGACCAGAAAUGCAUAGCUUCUGCAGUUCUAUCUGGCUAAGGCAGUUUGAAAGGAAUCAACAGUCUAUCCCGAAGCAUUGUGCAACGGAAAUAGUUCAGACUGCCUCAUGUAGUUUGUUACACGAAUUAACUCAUUUUUUGGCAAAUGAUGCCAGGUUGGUAGUUCUUAUGGACACAUGUGUGCGUGGCGGUAUCUAUUUUAGAUGCCUUCGUGUUCCCAGCUUUUUGGAGUCACCGGGACAUGCCUUUUGUGUCAGGAUUCGUAUUUUAUGAUGGCACCUAGAUUUCUUUAAAUAUGUUCCCUUCUAUUUUUCUUUUCCUAUUAACUGAUUCAUGAAAUGAUUCCCUGAGGUGGACAAAUAUAUUACUUAUGUAUAAUGCAUAUAUGUGCUUCAAUUUUCACUAUUAACAAAUGGAGACAUUGAUGUUAAUUCUACUAAUUGGUCUUAAUUUUUUUCAUUUGUCGGAGCAUAUUUCUUGCCCGCUGGAUCUUGCCCAUUUAAGGGAGUCAUGUCAAAUUAUUCUUAGACCUUGUAUCUUUGUUAGGUGCUUUUGUAUCGCUUAUUUAUUCCCACCAGAAUGUAGCAACAUAUAUGAGUAGAUAUAUUUGUUUUCUUGUUUUUCCAAGAAGAACCGGCACAAGAAGCUGAGGUCGCUGCU